rnacentral:rRNA from 1 species
UAAGACGGAGGGUGCAAACGUUGCUCGGAAUCACUGGGCAUAAAGCGCACGUAGGCGGCCAACUAAGUCAGGUGUGAAAGCCCCCGGCUCAACCGGGGAAUUGCUCCUGAUACUGGUUGGCUAGAGGACGGUAGGGGUGAGUGGAACUCCAGGUGGAGCGGUGAAAUGCGUAGAUAUCUGGAGGAACACCGGUGGCGAAAGCGGCUCACUGGACCGUGUCUGACGCUGAGGUGCGAAAGCUAGGGUAGCGAACGGGAUUAGAUACCCCGGUAGUCCUAGCCGUAAACGAUGGGCACUAGGUAGGGGGUAGGCCUAUGCUAUUCCCUGUCGUAGCUAAUGUGUUAAGUGCCCCGCCUGGGGAGUACGCUCGCAAGGGUA